CAUGCAAGUCGAGCGAACUGAUUAGAAGCUUGCUUCUAUGACGUUAGCGGCGGACGGGUGAGUAACACGUGGGCAACCUGCCUGUAAGACUGGGAUAACUUCGGGAAACCGAAGCUAAUACCGGAUAGGAUCUUCUCCUUCAUGGGAGAUGAUUGAAAGAUGGUUUCGGCUAUCACUUACAGAUGGGCCCGCGGUGCAUUAGCUAGUUGGUGAGGUAACGGCUCACCAAGGCAACGAUGCAUAGCCGACCUGAGAGGGUGAUCGGCCACACUGGGACUGAGACACGGCCCAGACUCCUACGGGAGGCAGCAGUAGGGAAUCUUCCGCAAUGGACGAAAGUCUGACGGAGCAACGCCGCGUGAGUGAUGAAGGCUUUCGGGUCGUAAAACUCUGUUGUUAGGGAAGAACAAGUACAAGAGUAACUGCUUGUACCUUGACGGUACCUAACCAGAAAGCCACGGCUAACUACGUGCCAGCAGCCGCGGUAAUACGUAGGUGGCAAGCGUUAUCCGGAAUUAUUGGGCGUAAAGCGCGCGCAGGCGGUUUCUUAAGUCUGAUGUGAAAGCCCACGGCUCAACCGUGGAGGGUCAUUGGAAACUGGGGAACUUGAGUGCAGAAGAGAAAAGCGGAAUUCCACGUGUAGCGGUGAAAUGCGUAGAGAUGUGGAGGAACACCAGUGGCGAAGGCGGCUUUUUGGUCUGUAACUGACGCUGAGGCGCGAAAGCGUGGGGAGCAAACAGGAUUAG
rnacentral:rRNA from 2 species